rfam:Myotis davidii contig160755, whole genome shotgun sequence.
GGUGGUUCUCAGAUGGUGCACCCUGGAAUUGGGCUCCCUCCUCUCUGGCUCUGGGGUGCAUCACCCAAGACCCGCU